rnacentral:rRNA from 1 species
CACGUAGGGCGCAAGCGUUGUCCGGAAUUAUUGGGCGUAAAGAGCUCGUAGGCGGUCUGUCGCGUCGGCUGUGAAAUCCCGAGGCUCAACCUCGGGUCUGCAGUCGAUACGGGCAAACUAGAGUAUUGCAGGGGAGACUGGAAUUCCUGGUGUAGCGGUGAAAUGCGCAGAUAUCAGGAGGAACACCGGUGGCGAAGGCGGGGUCUCUGGGCAAUAACUGACGCUGAGGAGCGAAAGCGUGGGGGAGCGAACAGG